GCCUAAUCUACAUCUCUCUGCCGACAGGGAGGUGUCGUCUAGACACAGCCUUGAAGAAUCUACCUCAGCUUCUGGGUGUGAGCGAAAGGACUCGCCUAAGUGCCAACGCCCAACAACCGUGGAAUCCUAGUGACACGUUUCUUUUAGGGCAGGAGGGAUGUGCAGAGGUUACCACGGGUCAGCACCAACAGGAGACGCGCCCUUUGGGAGGAGAAGAGGCCCAGGAUCCUGAAGGCCUCUUCAGCAUCAGCCAGAACGAACCCUGGCUGCAGAACUACACCUGGAUCACUGCAGCAGCGACAAGGCAGGGCAGUUUGCAAGUGACACCGAUGUCACAGAAAUAAUUCAUCACCCGGCCUUUCCAAGGCAAAGGUACUUUGUCCCUGCCAGUAGCAGGAACAGGCUGGGACUUUCAAGGCAAGUCCCAGUGGCUGAUCUCUCCGCUCACGGUUCCUUUCAGGAAGGGCCAUAUUAUGACUUUUGUGGGCCCUAGGCAAUUUUGCCUCCGUGGGCCCCUUCCUCCAUUAAAUAUAUAACUUUAAAUACUUGAACAUUUUAUUUUCUGUUUUAGGCAAAAGGUAAUAGAUUUGCAUGGGCCCUAAACCUUCCAUUUUUUUCUGACGUGAGAAAAAAAUUAAAACAUUUUCUUCGACCCUAAAAGUUCAAUUUUUUUUCCCUCCUGAUUUUAAAAGAAAUGUAAACGUGUCCGCGGGCCCCAGGCACUGUGCCUAGUGGAUAAGUCGGCCGGGCAGAACUAUCUCCCACGCUGCGGCAUCCCUCCCACGCUGCCUCCCAUCACAAGAGACCACAGAGCCGCUGCCAGGGCAUCCUGCGAGGACAGGCACCAAACGGGGGGGGCCUUUCCCUGCCCUGG